rnacentral:rRNA from 1 species
UACGUAGGGCGCAAGCGUUGUCCGGAAUUAUUGGGCGUAAAGAGCUCGUAGGCGGCUUGUCACGUCGGAUGUGAAAGCCCGAGGCUUAACCUCGGGUCUGCAUUCGAUACGGGCUAGCUAGAGUGUGGUAGGGGAGAUCGGAAUUCCUGGUGUAGCGGUGAAAUGCGCAGAUAUCAGGAGGAACACCGGUGGCGAAGGCGGAUCUCUGGGCCAUUACUGACGCUGAGACGCGAAAGCGUGGGGAGCAAACAGG